GCCUACUGUCAGCAGCAGCAGUCUCGGCGGCACCAGAGGCUUGACUGCACCAUGGGCCACACCACCAGCCGCUGUCACCCUGCCUGACUACCCUUCGGCAAGGGUUCACCGAGUCCGUUCUGUCUGCAUGAAGGAGGCAGGCCGAGACGCCGUCAUCCCUCCUCUGUGACACUUCCAGGUGGUUCAAGUCCAUCUACACCUGGAAUACCCACCCUCCCUGCUCAGCCUAUCCAAAUUCCACCUACCGUUCAGUGUCCCACUGAGGUCCCACCUCCCACCACCUCCCUGGCUGUGCCAGGCCACGAAGGAGCCAGGUCCUGAGCUGGUACCACAUGUAUUGUCUGUGUGUUUUUUCCACUCUACUAUGUUCUGACAGCUCUUGAA